UAACGGAUAUUGGGCAAUGGGCGAAAGCCUGACCCAGCGACGCCGCGUGCGGGAGGAAGCCCUUCGGGGUGUAAACCGCUGUCAGGGGUAAGAAAGACCGUUUCGGCGGAUUGAUCUAACCCAGAGGAAGUCACGGCUAACUCUGUGCCAGCAGCCGCGGUAAGACAGAGGUGGCUAGCGUUGUUCGGUAUCACUGGGCUUAAAGCGUGUGUAGGCGGAAGCGUAAGCAUUUUGUGAAAUCCCCCGGCUUAACCGGGGAAUCGCUUGGUGUACUGCGUUUCUUGAGGCAGGUAGGGGUGCGAGGAACUCUUGGUGGAGCGGUGGAAUGCGUAGAUAUCAAGAGGAACGCCGGUGGUGAAGACGUCGCACUGGGCCUGUCCUGACGCUGAGACACGAAAGCGUUGGGAGCGAACG
rnacentral:rRNA from 1 species